GAGGGUAUAGUUCACAUGGUAGAGCACAUGCUUAGCAUACACAAGGUCCUGGGUUCAAUCCCCAGUACCACCU
rnacentral:tRNA from 1 species